rnacentral:lncRNA from 1 species
CGCACAUGCGCGCCACCUCCGCACUGCCCUCGCUUCCUGCGCCUGUUCAGGUCAUCGCUUGCUCUGGUUCCCAGGCUUUGGCCUCUAGUGGACGAGAAUCACCGAGUCUGCGGGGCUAGACGCUGACCGCCCGGGCCAGCACCUAGGCGGGCGGGAGCUGUGCGGCCCAGGGUUCGCGCGGGCCGGGUAGAGGCUCGAGCCAGGACCCCCGAGCGUGAACCCCGGAGCCGGCGGCGCUGGGGCCAGAGGGGCCGGGCGGGAGGUGAUGGCGGAGGCGAAGGGGCGACGGGACCUGGGCCUGGCCCGUGUGUGUCCUCAGAGGCCUGGCGCCGGCCGUCGCUGUACGGUGAGCCCCAGGGAGGCGGAUCUGGGCCCCGAGAAGGACACCCACCUGGAUUUGCCCCAUAGGCCCGGCCCGGGCCCCUCGGGAGCAGAACAGCCUUGGUGAGGUGGACAGGAGGGGACCUCGUGAGCAGACGCGUGCGCCAGCGACAGCAGCCCGCCCCGGCCUCUCAGGAGCCGUGGGGCAGAGGCUGCGGAGCCCCAGGAGGGCCGGAGCCCUCAUGACUUCAGUGACCUGCUUCUGCCCCUCUAGGUCUAUCAGCCACAGUCUCUGCAAGUUUCCAAGAGCAGCAGAAAAUGAACACAUUGCAGGUGAGUUUUCCUGCUUGUGUAUAUGUUCCUCAAUUUUAUUUUAUGAUGCAUUUUAAGAGGUUU